rnacentral:rRNA from 1 species
AAUAGAUACCCAGGUAGUCCACGCCGUAAACGAUGAGUGCUAAGUGUUAGAGGGUUUCCGCCCUUUAGUGCUGCAGCUAACGCAUUAAGCACUCCGCCUGGGGAGUACGGUCGCAAGACUGAAACUCAAAGGAAUUGACGGGGGCCCGCACAAGCGGUGGAGCAUGUGGUUUAAUUCGAAGCAACGCGAAGAACCUUACCAGGCCUUGACAUCCUCUGACAACUCUAGAGAUAGAGCGUUCCCCUUCGGGGGACAGAGUGACAGGUGGUGCAUGGUUGUCGUCAGCUCGUGUCGUGAGAUGUUGGGUUAAGUCCCGCAACGAGCGCAACCCUUGAUCUUAGUUGCCAGCAUUUAGUUGGGCACUCUAAGGUGACUGCCGGUGACAAACCGGAGGAAGGUGGGGAUGACGUCAAAUCAUCAUGCCCCUUAUGACCUGGGCUACACACGUGCUACAAUGGAUGGUACAAAGGGCUGCAAGACCGCGAGGUCAAGCCAAUCCCAUAAAACCAUUCUCAGUUCGGAUUGUAGG